UUGGCGAGACACAGAGGGAAGAGAAGUUGAUGGUGGCGCGGAGAUCCAGAGUCUGGGUCAAAGAAGCAUGAACAUGGAAAGGGGGUCCCAGGAAGGAUAACUUCAGAGAGCAGACAGAGUUGGGAGAGGCCAUGGAGGAGAGCACAGAUUGCUCAGGCAUAGGGUGUAGCGUGAAACCCGGGAAAAUGGAGCAGAGAAAACAGCCUGGAGACUCCUGGGCAGAUCUCAGGACAUGGGUCCUACCCACAGAGGCCUGGGCCAGGCGCCCUCACCAUGAGAACAUCGGUCUAGCCCGUCACUGUCCCUCAGCCAGGAUGACACUUUCUCUCGAGGUCCAACCCCAG